CAUACAAGGGCUGGCCACGGAAGGAGAACAUCACUUGGAGCUAGGCUGCUUCUUGAGCAGGAGUGCUGGGUAGCCAUGGAUUCCCUUCACCAGUUGGCCUGUUGCCUCUAGCCAGAAGCCUCUCUUUGUGGGCAGAGUGGGUCUUGUUUCUUGUCAUUCACCACAACAUUUAGUUUGAAGACCAGGUAGCUGCAGUAUUCUUGACAAGCCAACUAGGUAUAUACUAACAGUGUCCUGGCUAUGUCAAGAAUAAUAUCUGAGUUAGUAACAUAAUGGACAACAGCUAAUCUACGAAGCCUGAACUGGGGGAUGAAUGCUGUAGUGUCCAUCCAGGCGUGUACUUUGAAGCAUUCUCUUUUUCAGCUUAUCUACUGUAAUGGAAAUGUCUCAGUUGCAAACGAAGCUUGGAUUCUCACUCUUUGUGUAAUCAGAACAGGGAUAAUUUUUCUCUUAUCAUUAGCAGCAGAAUCCAGAUUUGAAAUGUUUUGAAAUGACCGUUUUCUGAGUUGAUCUGGAUCACUACAUUCAAGGUUCAAUUGUAGCCUUUGUGACCUGUGGAUCAGAACAUGAAGCUGUAGGUUCACUGAGGUCAUUGCCAAGCUUCCCAGUUACUUUAGCAUGGCAAGGUCGAGCAUGGCGAGCACACUUUAGAAACUGACUGAACUUGUUGUAGAAAGAAAAUUGUCCAGCUUGUUAAAGUAAGGAUUGGCUUAGGAAUGCUGUGUGAAAUACCACUGAAGCAUAUGUUAAUCAGCCUCAUUUUUGUCCCUCUAAACAAGUGAGAAUGGAAAAUUCCAUUGGACGAGGGGAAACAAAGAUCAAGAACAAUGAGAGAAAUAGUUAGCUAAGAUAAUAUUGCUUGCAGUCUUCUUUUGAUUUAGUUUGACUUUCUCUUACAGAUUUUGCAUUUUAGGCUUGUUUAAACAUAUUAAAAUAUGUAUCAGAGAUUUGGGGUCAUGUCAACGUGUACAAUGCCAAACACAGUGAGGUCCUAAGUCCUCAUUUGGGAUUAAUUCAUGUGACUAAAAUUAAAAUAAUGAAUAUUAAUUUUGUUCUGGAUUCAUAAAUUAGUUAUAUCAGAGAUACCACCAAGCUUACAGGGAAGGCUGUAAUUAAAACAGAUCUUUAAAUUAAUGGGUUGGACAUAACUGUGACUGUCAAAAUUGUUUUAAAAAUAUAGCACUUCAUCUGCACUUCAGUCUUCAUCUCCAGAAAUAUCUUUUCAUUUAUGUUUUUAAACCCGUGUUUCUAACUUGAAGUUUUUUUUUCCCUUGAAGUGAAUAUCAAUGCAAGUAAUUUGUGCUU